CUUGACAUCCCGGAGACCCUUAGGAAACUAGGGGGUGCUUUCCAUCUGGAAGAAUCUGGAGACAGGUGCUGCAUGGCUGUCGUCAGCUCGUGUCGUGAGAUGUUGGGUUAAGUCCCGCAACGAGCGCAACCCUUGCCUUUAGUUGCCAGCAGUUCGGCUGGGCACUCUAAGGGACUGCCGGUGUUAACCGGAGGAAGGUGGGGAUGACGUCAAGUCCUCAUGGCCUUUAUGACCAGGGCUACACACGUACUACAAUGGCCGAUACAAAGGGCAGCGACACUGCGAGGUGAAGCCAAUCCCGUAAAAUCGGUCUCAGUCCGGAUUGGAGUCUGCAACUCGACUCCAUGAAGUUGGAAUCGCUAGUAAUCGUGGAUCAGCAUGCCACGGUGAAUACGUUCCCGGGCCUU
rnacentral:rRNA from 1 species